rnacentral:rRNA from 1 species
UCCAGGGCGUAAACGAUGUGGGCUGGGUGUGGGCCAAUCAGAAGGAUUGGUCUGUGCCGAAGCGAAAGCGAUAAGCCCACCGCCUGGGGAGUACGGUCGCAAGGCUGAAAUCCAGAGUAGGCUAGUGCCUACUCUGGACGGCAAACUUAAGGAAUUGGCGGGGGGCACCACAAGGGGUGGAGCCUGCGGUCUAAUUGGAUUCAACGCCGGGAAUCUUACCAGGAGCGACAGCAG